GGUUUCCAUUCUUUAGGCGUAGAAUCCUGGAGAGUGAAUGCCCGGAGAAUAGUAACCAGAUGACAAAAGUGAAACAAGGUGAAUAAGUCAAGCUUGACUGGUUGAAGAGAGAGCAGAAAUAGGCCAGGACCACAGGUUUAUCAAUAGGCAGUGGGCCCCACAGGAAAACAGAGGCGACGCGAUGCGAGUUCAGCAUGUACACUGUGAGAGUAUGGUGCUCGUGUCCGCUGCGCAACUGGGCGACACGGCCACAGUUUUGGGGUAUGGUCGUGCCUUGGCCAUUUUAGAGUCAGUUGUUCAAGUAGGCAGGAUCUUAGGAGUCUAGCCUAAUCUAAGCAUGAUUGUCUUCUCUUUUAUUACUCUCUUGGUCUAGUAAAGUUUGCCACAUUUUAACAAGAUACGAUUUAAAGAAUUGUAAUGAAAACUGGGUUAAAAUGUUAGCGGAAUGUGAGUAUUACUUUUGUAUAUUAGUUUUAUAAUAAAAUGUGAGGGAGAAUGAGUU